GCCUGACGGAGCACGCCGCGUGAGUGAUGAAGGUCUUCGGAUCGUAAAACUCUGUUAUUAGGGAAGAACAAACGUGUAAGUAACUGUGCACGUCUUGACGGUACCUAAUCAGAAAGCCACGGCUAACUACGUGCCAGCAGCCGCGGUAAUACGUAGGUGGCAAGCGUUAUCCGGAAUUAUUGGGCGUAAAGCGCGCGUAGGCGGUUUUUUAAGUCUGAUGUGAAAGCCCACGGCUCAACCGUGGAGGGUCAUUGGAAACUGGAAAACUUGAGUGCAGAAGAGGAAAGUGGAAUUCCAUGUGUAGCGGUGAAAUGCGCAGAGAUAUGGAGGAACACCAGUGGCGAAGGCGACUUUCUGGUCUGUAACUGACGCUGAUGUGCGAAAGCGUGGGGAUCAAACAGGAUUACAUACCCUGG
rnacentral:rRNA from 1 species